UACGUAGGGGGCUAGCGUUGUCCGGAAUCAUUGGGCGUAAAGAGCGUGUAGGCGGCCCGGUAAGUCCGCUGUGAAAGUCGGGGGCUCAACCCUCGAAUGCCGGUGGAUACUGUCGGGCUAGAGUGCGGAAGAGGCGAGUGGAAUUCCUGGUGUAGCGGUGAAAUGCGCAGAUAUCAGGGGAACACCAAUUGCGAAGGCAGCUCGCUGGGACGUAACUGACGCUGAGGCGCGAAGGCGUGGGAGCGAACGGG
rnacentral:rRNA from 1 species